UACGUAGGGUCCGAGCGUUGUCCGGAAUUACUGGGCGUAAAGAGCUCGUAGGUGGUUUGUCGCGUUGUUCGUGAAAACUCACAGCUUAACUGUGGGCGUGCGGGCGAUACGGGCAGACUUGAGUACUGCAGGGGAGACUGGAAUUCCUGGUGUAGCGGUGGAAUGCGCAGAUAUCAGGAGGAACACCAGUGGCGAAGGCGGUGGUCUGGGCCGGAACUGACGCUGUAGAGCGAAAGCGUGGGGAGCGAACAGG
rnacentral:rRNA from 1 species